rnacentral:rRNA from 1 species
CUACGGGAGGCAGCAGUGGGGAAUAUUGCACAAUGGGCGCAAGCCUGAUGCAGCAACGCCGCGUGAGGGAUGAAGGCCUUCGGGUUGUAAACCUCUUUUAGCAGGGAAGAAGCGAAAGUGACGGUACCUGCAGAAAAAGCACCGGCUAACUACGUGCCAGCAGCCGCGGUAAUACGUAGGGUGCAAGCGUUGUCCGGAAUUAUUGGGCGUAAAGAGCUCGUAGGCGGUUUGUCACGUCUGCUGUGAAAAUCCAAGGCUCAACCUUGGACUUGCAGUGGGUACGGGCAGGCUAGAGUGCGGUAGGGGAGAUGGGAAUUCCUGGUGUAGCGGUGGAAUGCGCAGAUAUCAGGAGGAACACCAAUGGCGAAGGCACAUCUCUGGGCCGUAACUGACGCUGAGGAGCGAAAGCGUGGGGAGCGAACAGGAUUAGAUACCCCCGUAGUC